GUGCUUGCUUUGGCAGCACAUAUAGUAAACUGGAACAAUACAGAGAAGAUUAGCUUGGCCCCUGCACAAGGACCAAAUGCAAAUCUGUGAAGCAUUCCAUUAAAAA